CAAUAGCGUAUAUUUAAGUUGUUGCAGUUAAAAAGCUCGUAGUUGGAUUUCGGGUGGGACGCAGCGGUCUCGCAUUGCGUUUGUACUGCCGCAGCCCUCCUUCUUGCCGGGGGCGGCCUCUCGGACUUCACUGUCUGGGGGUCAGAAUCGGCGAUGUUACUUUGAGUAAAUUAGAGUGUUCAAAGCAAGCUUACGCUCUGAAUAUAAUAGCAUGGGAUAACACGACAGGACUCUGGCCUAUCGUGUUGGUCUAUAGGACCAGAGUAAUGAUUAAGAGGGACAGUCGGGGGCAUUCGUAUUCCGUUGUCAGAGGUGAAAUUCUUGGAUUUACGGAAGACGAACAUCUGCGAAAGCAUUUGCCAAGGAUGUUUUCAUUGA
rnacentral:rRNA from 1 species